UACAGAGGUCCCAAGCGUUGUUCGGAGUUAUUGGGCGUAAAGGGCGUGUAGGCGGCUCAUCAAGUCUGGUGUGAAAUCGCAAGGCUCAACCUUGCAUAUGCGCUGGAAACUGGUGGGCUUGAGUUCUUGAGGGGAAGCUGGAAUUCCAGGUGUAGGGGUGAAAUCUGUAGAUAUCUGGAAGAACACCGGUGGCGAAGGCGAGCUUCUAUCAGAGGACUGACGCUGAGGCGCGAAAGCGUGGGGAGCAAACAGG
rnacentral:rRNA from 1 species